rnacentral:lncRNA from 10 species
GUCCUCUCAAAGAAAGCCCUCAGCCUGAGGGCCACAUUCUCAUUUUUGGCUUUGGCUAGGAACCACCACCUGCUCUUCUUUCUUAAGCCUCUCCCUUUGUCCUUUCUUACCUGCUAUCUGGUGAAGCUGCAAUUCCAGGCUCAACAUUAGCAGGAGGAAGAUCAUGUUCUGUAUUUGAUCUGAAAUAGACAAUUGAAAGUCUCAGGGCCUUGUGAAACUUUGCUGGGUCUUUGGUUCUUUGUUCACUUUUGAAAACAGGGGAAUAACAAAUCAUUUGGGGAAGGUGACAGACCAUGGUAGAGUGGAGCUGGGAGGAGAAGUUAUAGGUUGAUUUCCUGGAGAAGAGAAGAUAUAAAUUAAGAGUAAACAAGACACUCUUUAUAAAUCCAAAUGAGAAGUUCUUCUUCCUUUUCUAAUGGCCGUUUCUGAAUAUGAACCAGUCCUUGUGAACCACACAUAUUGGCAGUUACCUGCACGUCUCAUGAAGCUUUCCAUAGCUUUUUUCAAUAGCUGGCCCUUGAACCCCAACUUUGUUUGUCAAAUGAAUAAUGGACACCAUCUUCUUUACCUGGACUGGAUGUCUGGGAGUCUGACACUUGAAAAUAAGACUCCAUAGAACAGAGCUACAUUCUCAAUAAAUACUUGCUAGUUGACUGAGCAAAGUAGUCAAGUGCUUUUGAGUGCUGGAAUUGAGUUUGCCCCUCUCUUGAACUACCUCUUACUAAGAGGUUUAGACAGGGAGAGUAGGGAACUGGCUCUGAUGAGGGUGGGGGCUGCGAAUGCCCCACCUUGGUCCUGCUGUACCUCCCAUGCUUUCUCCUUUACUCUGAAGCUUUCUUUAUCCAUGGACUUCUUAUGGUUGAGGAAAGGGACAGAGCACACAGCUAAUCUGAUAAUGGUCUGAAACUGAGGAGGCUUUCCAACUUUUAUCAGCCAUGGAAUCAUUUCUUCAGGGGAAAUCUGUUGGAGCCAUACAUCUAAAUCAGGCAACAGCAGAGCUGCUCUGAGUGUGAUGAAAAGCAGUGGAGGGUUUGGGUCAGGAGAAUGAUAGAACCUCAUUUACAUCAUUAAGAGACAACUAAGCUUUGGUGUAGGCAAUAGACUAUUGCUGAGAGGGAGAGGUUGCUGGCAAGAUUACAAGCAGUGAGAUCGGUUAGGAAUGUGUUUGCAGAAAUGCUGAUAGCUUAGAGUAGAGGGGCUAGUAGGGGUGAGAAGUGGUCUGUUGGCGAGUUUAUAUAUUUUUUCUUUGUUUUAAAAUUUUAUUUUAAAAAUUUCAACAGCUUUAUUAAAGUAUAAUUGAUAUACGAAAGAGGGUUAUAUGUGUCUAAGUGUGUAUAUAUAUUUAAAACACAAACUUUUUUUAAGUGCACGACUCUGUGGUUUUUAGUAUGUUCACGGAGUUGUGCAACAAACACUAUUAUCCAAUUUUAGAACAUUUUCAUUACCCUGAAAAGGAACCCCUUACCCAUUAGCAGAAACUUCCUAUUUCCCCUUCCCUUUCCCUAUGGCCCUUGGCAACCACUAAUCUAGUUUCUGUCUCUAUCAAUUGCUUAUUCUGGAUAUUUCAUAAAAAUGGAAUCAAGCAAUAUGUGGACUUUUGUGGCUGGCUUUUUUCACCGAACAUAAUGUUGUCAAGGUUCAUCUGUAUUGUAGCAUAUAUCAGCACUGCGUUCCUUUUUGUGACUAAAUAAUAUUCCAUUGUAUGAUAUACCACAUUUUGCUUACCCAUUCAUCAGUUGAUGGUCAUUUGGAUUGUUUCUGCUUGUUGGCUAUUAUGAAUAAAGUUCCUAUGAAAACUC